rnacentral:lncRNA from 13 species
AUGAGACCUUUUCUCCCUGAUAACAGUAAUCAAAUACACAUUGUGACACAACUUUCUUUCUUCCUAUCGCCCUCAAUCCCACCCCAUGCCCAAAAUUCGCCCUCUCUCUCUCGCGCACACCCUCUCUCCUAUAGAUGGGACAUAUAUAAAGAACACCUCACCCUAAAGAUGUGUUCAAGUUGGAUGCAGGUGACAUUUCUCCUUGCACACUUGAUUGUUGGUAAGAUUAUUGAAAUGCACAACAUCUACUAUUGUUGUAUAUGACUGUACAUUAAAUAUCAAGUUGCAGAUGAUUUAGUCUCUAUAGUCAGACUUUUAACU